CGGUGGGCUAUGGAGAUGAUUCAACUUCCAGAGGCUUCCUCAUAAAUUUUUGGAAUUUUUGAGACACAGAUAAACUUUGGGUGAUCGAGGUCAGCUAUUUUUCUGCAUCGAGCAGCCACAAUAGUCAUCGGUGUACUGCCACAGGAGGAGUUAUUUUACAGAGCAACCUGUUUUCUUCCUCGCAGGUUUAACGUCGAUUAUUUAAUUGUUUUACUAUCUUUUCUAAAUUUAAAAUCUAGAACUCCGCAUGUGUUAGUAAUAGUGUAUACCUUGUUAGAAAUUGUGUUAAUUUAAAAUUUUGAGAUUAAUAAAUGAAGAUUUAUAUGGUAUUUAAACAGUUUGUAAAUGAGGUAACAGGGUUGAGCGAGGCUCCCCUUAUUUCAGUUUUUGAUGGCUAUCGGGUUGGGUUGAUCCGAAUAAAAAUAUUUUAUUUUAUUUAAUUUUAUGUACAUGUUGGGCCUAAGUUUUUGGGCCUUGGUUAUGGAUUU